UAAUACAUGCAGUCGAGCGGACCGACGGGAGCUUGCUCCCUUAGGUCAGCGGCGGACGGGUGAGUAACACGUGGGUAACCUGCCUGUAAGACUGGGAUAACUCCGGGAAACCGGGGCUAAUACCGGAUGCUUGAUUGACCCGCAUGGUUUCAUCUAAAGGCUUGCUUUUCCUCCCCUGACAGGGAACCCGCGGCGCAUUAGCUAGUUGGUGAGGUAACGGCUCACCAAGGCGACGAUGCGUAGCCGACCUGAGAGGGUGAUCGGCCACACUGGGACUGAGACACGGCCCAAACUCCUACGGGGAGGCAGCAGUAGGGAUCUUCCCCAAUGGACAAAAGUCUGACGGACCACCCCCCCCGUGAGUGAUGAAGGUUUUCGGAUCGUAAAACUCUGUUGUUAGGGAAAAAACAAGUACCGUUCGAAUAGGGCGGCACCUUGACGGUACCUAACCAAAAAAGCCACGGGCUAACUACGUUGCCAGCAGCCGCGGUAAUACGUAGGUGGGCAAGCGUUGUCCGGAAUUUAUUGGGGCGUAAAGCGCGCCGCAGGGCGGUUUCUUAAGUCUGAAGGGGAAACCCCCCCGGGCUCCACCGGGGGAGGGUUCUUUGGAAACUGGGGGAAAUUUGAGUGCAAAAAAAAGGAAAAUUGAAAUUCCCACGUGUAGCCGUUGAAAUGCCUAAAAGAUGGGGAAGGAACCCCUUUGGCAAAGGCCCACCUCUCGGGGUCGGUAACUGACCCCAGAGGCCCCAAAAGCGGUGGAGAGAGCACACGAGAUUUAUAUCCCUGGUCAUUCGGAAAAUCCUGGGGGUACCUUGAGUGCAGCAACGCAUGGAUGAGUUGGAAUUCCACCGUGUAGCGGUGAAAUGCGUAGAGAUGUGGAGGGAACACCAGUGGCGAAGGCGACUCUCUGGUCUGUAACUGACGCUGAGGCGCGAAAGCGUGGGGAGCGAACAGGAUUAGAUACCCUGGUAGUCCACGCCGUAAACGAUGAGUGCUAAGUGUUAGAGGGUUUCCGCCCUUUAGUGCUGCAGCAAACGCAUUAAGCACUCCGCCUGGGGAGUACGGUCGCAAGACUGAAACUCAAAGGAAUUGACGGGGGCCCGCACAAGCGGUGGAGCAUGUGGUUUAAUUCGAAGCAACGCGAAGAACCUUACCAGGUCUUGACAUCCUCUGACAACCCUAGAGAUA
rnacentral:rRNA from 1 species